rnacentral:rRNA from 1 species
UACGUAGGGCGCAAGCGUUGUCCGGAUUCACUGGGUGUAAAGGGUGCGUAGGCGGGAGAGUAAGUCCGCGGUGAAAUCUCACAGCUCAACUGUGAAACUGCCGUUGAUACUGCUUUUCUUGAGUUCGGGAGAGGUUGAUGGAAUUCCAGGUGUAGCGGUGAAAUGCGUAGAUAUUUGGAAGAACACCAGUGGCGAAGGCGGUCAACUGGCCCGUAACUGACGCUGAGGCACGAAAGCGUGGGUAGCGAACAGG